rnacentral:rRNA from 1 species
AACGAACGCUGGCGGCAGGCUUAACACAUGCAAGUCGAGCGCCCCGCAAGGGGAGCGGCAGACGGGUGAGUAACGCGUGGGAAUCUACCGUGCCCUACGGAAUAACGCAUGGAAACGUGUGCUAAUACCGUAUACGCCCUACGGGGGAAAGAUUUAUCGGGGUGUGAUGAGCCCGCGUUGGAUUAGCUAGUUGGUGGGGUAAAGGCCUACCAAGGCGACGAUCCAUAGCUGGUCGGAGAGGAUGAUCAGCCACAUUGGGACUGAGACACGGCCCAAACUCCUACGGGAGGCAGCAGUGGGGAAUAUUGGACAAUGGGCGCAAGCCUGAUCCAGCCAUGCCGCGUGAGUGAUGAAGGUCUUAGGAUUGUAAAGCUCUUUCACCGGUGAAGAUAAUGACGGUAACCGGAGAAGAAGCCCCGGCUAACUUCGUGCCAGCAGCCGCCGUAA